AUUCCAGCUCCAAUAGCGUAUAUUAAAGUUGUUGCAGUUAAAAAGCUCGUAGUUGGAUUCCUGGUUAGAGCGGCCGGUCUGGUCCGAAUGGGCUAGUACUUUGAGCUGUCUUUGACCUUCCCUUGGGAGAAUCUGUGUUGUUAUUAAUUUAGCAGUGCAGGGGACCCCAAUCGUUUACUGUGAAAAAAUUAGAGUGUUUAAAGCAGGCAUUUGCUGCGAAUACAUUAGCAUGGAAUAAUAAGAUAGGACUUUGGUGCUAUUUUGUUGGUUUGCACACCAAGGUAAUGAUUAACAGGGACAGUUGGGGGUAUUCGUAUUUAAUUGUCAGAGGUGAAAUUCAUGGAUUUAUGAAAGACGAACUACUGCGAAAGCAUUUACCAAGGAUGUUUUCAUUG
rnacentral:rRNA from 1 species